rnacentral:rRNA from 1 species
UACGAAGGGGGCUAGCGUUGCUCGGAAUCACUGAGCGUAAAGGGUGCGUAGGCGGGAUCUUAAGUCAGAGGUGAAAGCCUGGAGCUCAACUCCAGAACUGCCUUUGAUACUGGGAUUCUUGAAUCCGGGAGAGGUGAGUGGAAUUCCGAGUGUAGAGGUGAAAUUCGUAGAUAUUCGGAAGAACACCAGUGGCGAAGGCGGCUCACUGGACCGGCAUUGACGCUGAGGUGCGAAAGCGUGGGGAGCAAACAGG